UAAUACGGAGGGUGCGAGCGUUGUCCGGAAUCACUGGGCGUAAAGGGCGCGUAGGUGGCGUGGUAAGCGUGCGGUGAAAGCCCGGGGCCCAACUCCGGGUCUGCCGUGCGAACUGCCGCGCUUGAGCACGGUAGAGGCCAAUGGAAUUCCGGGUGUAGCGGUGGAAUGCGUAGAGAUCCGGAAGAACACCGGUGGCGAAGGCGGUUGGCUGGGCCGUUGCUGACACUGAGGCGCGACAGCGUGGGGAGCAAACAGG
rnacentral:rRNA from 1 species